AUUGAACGCUGGCGGCAGGCCUAACACAUGCAAGUCGAGCGAGCGGCGGACGGGUGAGCAAUGUCUGGGAAACUGCCUGAUGGAGGGGGAUAACUACUGGAAACGGUAGCUACUACCGCAUACCACCAUCUGUGCCCAGAUGGGAUUAGAUAGCAGGUGGGGUAAUGGCUCACCUAGGCGACGAUCCCUAGCUGGUCUGAGAGGCUUACCAGCCACACUGGAACGGAGACACGGUCCAGACUCCUACGGGAGGCAGCAGUGGGGAAUAUUGGACAAUGGGCGCAAGCCUGAUGCAGCCAUGCCGCGUGUGGGAAGAAGGACUUCGGGUUGUAAAGCACUUUCAGCGAGGAGGCGUUACUCGCAGAAAAAGCACCGGAUAACUCCGUGCCAGCAGCCGCGGUAAUAC
rnacentral:rRNA from 1 species